rnacentral:rRNA from 1 species
AUGGCGCGAAUAAAUUUUGGUGUUAUCACCCUGAUCUCCAAAUUAGUUGGGGCGACAGACAUUCGCCAAUUUAGACCUAUCAUAGUUAUCAAUGUUCUGGAGCGCAUCUUCUCGAAAGUAUGCGCGACUAGACUCGCACCGGUAGCUGAGAGGAUGAAUCACCCUCUUCAGACAACUUUCUUGAAAGGGAGAUGAAUCCAUGAUGGGGUCUUAUCCCUUCACGAGAUUGUACACGAAGUGCGAUCGCGUGGGCAGAAGGGUAUUUUUCUCAAGCUGGACUUCCAGAAAGCCUACGAUCGGCUAGAUUCGGACUUCCCGCGGCUUGUUAUG